rnacentral:rRNA from 1 species
UACGGAGGGUGCGAGCGUUGUCCGGAAUCACUGGGCGUAAAGGGCGCGUAGGCGGCCUACUAAGUCAGACGUGAAAUCCCCCGGCUUAACCUGGGAACUGCGUCUGAUACUGGAAGGCUUGAGGAUGGGAGAGGGAUGUAGAAUUCCAGGUGUAGCGGUGAAAUGCGUAGAUAUCUGGAGGAAUACCGGUGGCGAAGGCGGCAUCCUGGACCAUUACUGACGCUGAGGCGCGAAAGCUAGGGGAGCAAACGGG